rnacentral:rRNA from 1 species
GUCCACGCCGUAAACUAUGGAUACUAGAUGUCGGAAGACUUUCCCUUCCUGCGUCGUAGCUAACGCGUUAAGUAUCCCGCCUGGGAAUUACGGUCGCAAGAUUAAAACUCAAAGAAAUUGACGGGGGCCCGCACAAGCGGUGGAGUAUGUGGUUUAAUUCGAUGCAACGCGAAAAACCUCACCUGGGCUUGACAUCCCACGCUACCCUAUGAAAGUAGGGGUUCCCGCAAGGGACGUGGAGACAGGUGCUGCAUGGCUGUCGU